rnacentral:rRNA from 1 species
CGCUGGGAAACCGGCGCUAAUACCGCAUAUUCCCGAGAGGGGAAAGCAGCAAUGCGCUCGAGGAGGAGUCCGCGGCCGAUUAGCUAGUUGGUAGGGUAAAAGCCUACCAAGGCUAUGAUCGGUAGCCGGCCUGAGAGGGCACACGGCCACAUUGGCACUGAAACACGGGCCAGACUCCUACGGGAGGCAGCAGUGGGGAAUCUUGCGCAAUGGGGGAAACCCUGAUGCAGCGGCGCCGCGUGAGCGAUGAAGCCCUUCGGGGUGUAAAGCUCUUUCGGCAGGGAAGAUUAUGACGGUACCUGCAGAAGCAGCUGCGGCUAACUACGUGCCAGCAGCCGCGGUAAUACGUAGGCAGCAAGCGUUGUUCGGAGUUACUGGGCGUAAAGGGUGUGUAGGUGGCCUGUUAAGUUCCGUGUGAAAUCUCCCGGCUCAACCGGGAGGGUGCGCGGAAAACUGGCGAGCUAGAGUACGGGAUGGGAGAGUAGAAUUCCUGGUGUAGCGGUGAAAUGCGUAGAUAUCAGGAGGAAUACCGGUGGUGUAGACGGCUCUCUGGACCGUAACUGACACUGAGACACGAAAGCGUGGGUAGCAAACAGGAUUAGAUACCCUGGUAGUCCACGCCCUAGACGAUGCAUAUUUGGUGUAGGCAGUUCAUUCUGUCUGUGCCGGAGCUAACGCGUUAAAUAUGCCGCCUGGGGAGUACAGUCGCAAGGCUGAAACUCAAAGGAAUUGACGGAAUCGAAUU